rnacentral:rRNA from 1 species
AUUGAACGCUGGCGGCAUGCCUUACACAUGCAAGUCGAACGGCAGCAUGAUCUAGCUUGCUAGAUUGAUGGCGAGUGGCGAACGGGUGAGUAAUACAUCGGAACGUGCCCUGUAGUGGGGGAUAACUAGUCGAAAGAUUAGCUAAUACCGCAUACGACCUGAGGGUGAAAGUGGGGGACCGCAAGGCCUCAUGCUAUAGGAGCGGCCGAUGUCUGAUUAGCUAGUUGGUGAGGUAAAGGCUCACCAAGGCGACGAUCAGUAGCUGGUCUGAGAGGACGAUCAGCCACACUGGGACUGAGACACGGCCCAGACUCCUACGGGAGGCAGCAGUGGGGAAUUUUGGACAAAGGGCGAAAGCCUGAUCCAGCAAUGCCGCGUGUGUGAAGAAGGCCUUCGGGUUGUAAAGCACUUUUGUCCGGAAAGAAAUAGCUCUGGUUAAUACCUGGGGUCGAUGACGGUACCGGAAGAAUAAGGACCGGCUAACUACGUG